GACGAACGCUGGCGGCGUGCUUAACACAUGCAAGUCGAGCGGUAAGGCUCCUUCGGGAGUACACGAGCGGCGAACGGGUGAGUAACACGUGAGUAAUCUGCCCUUCACUUCGGGAUAACCACCGGAAACGGUGGCUAAUACCGAAUACGACCAGUCUUCGCAUGAGGUGCUGGUGGAAAGUCUUUUCGGUGAAGGAUGUGCUCGCGGCCUAUCAGCUUGUUGGUGGGGUAAUGGCCUACCAAGGCUUCGACGGGUAGCCGGGCUGAGAGGGUGACCGGCCACACUGGGACUGAGACACGGCCCAGACUCCUACGGGAGGCAGCAGUGGGGAAUAUUGGACAAUGGGCGAAAGCCUGAUCCAGCAACGCCGCGUGAGGGAUGACGGCCUUCGGGUUGUAAACCUCUUUCAGUACCGACGAAGCGCCCUGUCGGGUGGUGACGGUAGGUACAGAAGAAGGACCGGCCAACUACGUG
rnacentral:rRNA from 1 species